rnacentral:rRNA from 1 species
GCGAACGGGUGAGUAAUACAUCGGAACAUGCCCAAUUGUGGGGGAUAGCUCGGCGAAAGCCGGAUUAAUACCGCAUAAGAUCUACGGAUGAAAGCAGGGGACCUUCGGGCCUUGCGCGAUUGGAGUGGCCGAUGGCAGAUUAGGUAGUUGGUGGGGUAAAGGCCUACCAAGCCUGCGAUCUGUAGCUGGUCUGAGAGGACGACCAGCCACACUGGGACUGAGACACGGCCCAGACUCCUACGGGAGGCAGCAGUGGGGAAUUUUGGACAAUGGGCGCAAGCCUGAUCCAGCAAUGCCGCGUGCAGGACGAAGGCCUUCGGGUUGUAAACUGCUUUUGUACAGAACGAAAAGUCUCUGGUUAAUACCUGGGGAUCAUGACGGUACUGUAAGAAUAAGCACCGGCUAACUACGUGCCAGCAGCCGCGGUAAUACGUAGGGUGCGAGCGUUAAUCGGAAUUACUGGGCGUAAAGCGUGCGCAGGCGGCGAUGCAAGACCGAUGUGAAAUCCCCGGGCUCAACCU